AAUCAACGCUGGCGGCGUGCCUAACACAUGCAAGUCGAACGCGAAAGUCCCGCAAGGGGCGAGUAGAGUGGCAAACGGGUGAGUAACACGUGGGUGACCUGCCUUCGAGUGGGGGAUAACGUCCCGAAAGGGACGCUAAUACCGCAUGAUAUCCUGCCUUUGAAGAGGUGGAGAUCAAAGCUGGGGAUCGCAAGACCUAGCGCUCAAAGAGGGGCCCGCGCCUGAUUAGCUAGUUGGUGGGGUAAUGGCUCACCAAGGCAACGAUCAGUAUCCGGCCUGAGAGGGCGGACGGACACACUGGGGCUGAGACACGGCCCAGACUCCUACGGGAGGCAGCAGUGGGGAAUUGUUCGCAAUGGGCGCAAGCCUGACGACGCAACGCCGCGUGGAGGAUGAAGAUCUUCGGG
rnacentral:rRNA from 1 species